rnacentral:rRNA from 1 species
UAGUGGAUUGAUCCGUCUGGUUAAUUCCGAUAACGAACGAGACCCCAACCGUCUAAAUAGUAAUUGCAAUGACAAUUACAAAUGACUUCUUAGAGGAACUAUGCGGAAUCUAAUACCGCAAGGAGGUGGGGCUAUAACA